AUACGUAGGGUGCAAGCGUUAUCCGGAAUUAUUGGGCGUAAAGGGCUCGUAGGCGGUUCGUCGCGUCCGGUGUGAAAGUCCAUCGCUUAACGGUGGAUCCGCGCCGGGUACGGGCGGGCUUGAGUGCGGUAGGGGAGACUGGAAUUCCCGGUGUAACGGUGGAAUGUGUAGAUAUCGGGAAGAACACCAAUGGCGAAGGCAGGUCUCUGGGCCGUUACUGACGCUGAGGAGCGAAAGCGUGGGGAGCGAACAGGAUUAGAUACCCUGGUAGUCCACGCCGUAAACGGUGGAUGCUGGAUGUGGGGCCCGUUCCACGGGUUCCGUGUCGGAGCUAACGCGUUAAGCAUCCCGCCUGGGGAGUACGGCCGCAAGGCUAAAACUCAAAGAAAUUGACGGGGGCCCGCACAAGCGGCGGAGCAUGCGGAUUAAUUCGAUGCAACGCGAAGAACCUUACCUGGGCUUGACAUGUUCCCGACGGUCGUAGAGAUACGGCUUCCCUUCGGGGCGGGUUCACAGGUGGUGCAUGGUCGUCGUCAGCUCGUGUCGUGAGAUGUUGGGUUAAGUCCCGCAACGAGCGCAACCCUCGCCCCGUGUUGCCAGCGGAUUAUGCCGGGAACUCAUGGGGGACCGCCGGGGUUAACUCGGAGGAAGGUGGGGAUGACGUCAGAUCAUCAUGCCCCUUACGUCCAGGGCUUCACGCAUGCUACAAUGGCCGGUACAACGGGAUGCGACGCGGCGACGCGGAGCGGAUCCCUGAAAACCGGUCUCAGUUCGGAUCGCAGUCUGCAACUCGACUGCGUGAAGGCGGAGUCGCUAGUAAUCGCGAAUCAGCAACGUCGCGGUGAAUGCGUUCCCGGGCCUUGUACACACCGCCCGUCAAGUCAUGAAAGUGGGCAGCACCCGAAGCCGGUGGCCUAACCCCUUGCGGGAGGGAGCCGUCUAAGGUGAGGCUCGUGAUUGGGACU
rnacentral:rRNA from 1 species